rnacentral:rRNA from 1 species
UACGUAGGGCGCAAGCGUUAUCCGGAAUUAUUGGGCGUAAAGAGCUCGUAGGCGGUUUGUCGCGUCUGCUGUGAAAUCCCGAGGCUCAACCUCGGGCCUGCAGUGGGUACGGGCAGACUAGAGUGCGGUAGGGGAGAUUGGAAUUCCUGGUGUAGCGGUGGAAUGCGCAGAUAUCAGGAGGAACACCGGUGGCGAAGGCAGGUCACUGGGCCGCAACUGACGCUGAGGAGCGAAAGCAUGGGGAGCGAACAGG